rnacentral:rRNA from 2 species
GGUGCUUGCAUCAUGAUUUACAUUUGAGUGAGUGGCGAACUGGUGAGUAACACGUGGGAAACCUGCCCAGAAGCGGGGGAUAACACCUGGAAACAGAUGCUAAUACCGCAUAACAACUUGGACCGCAUGGUCCAAGUUUGAAAGAUGGCUUCGGCUAUCACUUUUGGAUGGUCCCGCGGCGUAUUAGCUAGAUGGUGGGGUAACGGCUCACCAUGGCAAUGAUACGUAGCCGACCUGAGAGGGUAAUCGGCCACAUUGGGACUGAGACACGGCCCAAACUCCUACGGGAGGCAGCAGUAGGGAAUCUUCCACAAUGGACGAAAGUCUGAUGGAGCAACGCCGCGUGAGUGAAGAAGGGUUUCGGCUCGUAAAACUCUGUUGUUAAAGAAGAACAUAUCUGAGAGUAACUGUUCAGGUAUUGACGGUAUUUAACCAGAAAGCCACGGCUAACUACGUGCCAGCAGCCGCGGUAAUACGUAGGUGGCAAGCGUUGUCCGGAUUUAUUGGGCGUAAAGCGAGCGCAGGCGGUUUUUUAAGUCUGAUGUGAAAGCCUUCGGCUCAACCGAAGAAGUGCAUCGGAAACUGGGAAACUUGAGUGCAGAAGAGGACAGUGGAACUCCAUGUGUAGCGGUGAAAUGCGUAGAUAUAUGGAAGAACACCAGUGGCGAAGGCGGCUGUCUGGUCUGUAACUGACGCUGAGGCUCGAAAGUAU